UACGUAGGGACCAAGCGUUGUUCGGAUUUACUGGGCGUAAAGGGCGCGUAGGCGGCAAUUCAAGUCAUCUGUGAAAUCUCCGGGCUUAACUCGGAACGGUCAGGUGAUACUGCUUUGCUAGAGUGCGGAAGGGGCAAUCGGAAUUCUUGGUGUAGCGGUGAAAUGCGUAGAUAUCAAGCGGAACACCGGUGGCGAAGGCGGCCUUCUGGACAGUGACUGACGCUGAGACGCGAAAGCGUGGGGAGCAAGCAGG
rnacentral:rRNA from 1 species